GACGAACGCUGGCGGCGUGCUUAACGCAUGCAAGUCGAACGGAAAGGCCCUGCUUUUGUGGGGUGCUCGAGUGGCGAACGGGUGAGUAACACGUGAGUAACCUGCCCUUGACUUUGGGAUAACUUCAGGAAACUGGGGCUAAUACCGGAUAGGAGCUCCUGCUGCAUGGUGGGGGUUGGAAAGUUUCGGCGGUUGGGGAUGGACUCGCGGCUUAUCAGCUUGUUGGUGGGGUAGUGGCUUACCAAGGCUUUGACGGGUAGCCGGCCUGAGAGGGUGACCGGCCACAUUGGGACUGAGAUACGGCCCAGACUCCUACGGGAGGCAGCAGUGGGGAAUAUUGCACAAUGGGCGGAAGCCUGAUGCAGCAACGCCGCGUGCGGGAUGACGGCCUUCGGGUUGUAAACCGCUUUCGCCUGUGACGAAGCGUGAGUGACGGUAAUGGGUAAAGAAGCACCGGCUAACUACGUGCCAGCAGCCGCGGUGAUACGUAGGGUGCGAGCGUUGUCCGGAUUUAUUGGGCGUAAAGGGCUCGUAGGUGGUUGAUCGCGUCGGAAGUGUAAUCUUGGGGCUUAACCCUGAGCGUGCUUUCGAUACGGGUUGACUUGAGGAAGGUAGGGGAGAAUGGAAUUCCUGGUGGAGCGGUGGAAUGCGCAGAUAUCAGGAGGAACACCAGUGGCGAAGGCGGUUCUCUGGGCCUUUCCUGACGCUGAGGAGCGAAAGCGUGGGGAGCGAACAGGCUUAGAUACCCUGGUAGUCCACGCUGUAAACGGUGGGUACUAGGUGUGGGGUCCAUUCCACGGGUUCCGUGCCGUAGCUAACGCUUUAAGUACCCCGCCUGGGGAGUACGGCCGCAAGGCUAAAACUCAAAGGAAUUGACGGGGCCCCGCACAAGCGGCGGAGCAUGCGGAUUAAUUCGAUGCAACGCGUAGAACCUUACCUGGGUUUGACAUGGAUCGGGAGCGCUCAGAGAUGGGUGUGCCUCUUUUGGGGUCGGUUCACAGGUGGUGCAUGGCUGUCGUCAGCUCGUGUCGUGAGAUGUUGGGUUAAGUCCCGCAACGAGCGCAACCCUUGUUCACUGUUGCCAGCACGUUAUGGUGGGGACUCAGUGGAGACCGCCGGGGUCAACUCGGAGGAAGGUGGGGAUGACGUCAAGUCAUCAUGCCCCUUAUGUCCAGGGCUUCACGCAUGCUACAAUGGCUGGUACAGAGAGUGGCGAGCCUGUGAGGGUGAGCGAAUCUCGGAAAGCCGGUCUCAGUUCGGAUUGGGGUCUGCAACUCGACCUCAUGAAGUCGGAGUCGCUAGUAAUCGCAGAUCAGCAACGCUGCGGUGAACACGUUCCCGGG
rnacentral:rRNA from 1 species